rnacentral:rRNA from 1 species
UACGUAGGGUGCAAGCGUUGUCCGGAAUCAUUGGGCGUAAAGAGCGUGUAGGCGGCUCGAUUAGUCCGCUGUAAAAGUCCAGGGCUCAACCCUGGGAUGCCGGUGGAAACUGUCGGGCUAGAGUCCGGGAAGAGGCGAGUGGAAUUCCUGGUGUAGCGGUGAAAUGCGCAGAUAUCAGGAGGAACACCGAUGACGAAGGCAGCUCGCUGGGACGUGACUGACGCUGAGACGCGAAAGCGUGGGGAGCAAACAGG